UACGUAGGGUGCAAGCGUUGUCCGGAAUUAUUGGGCGUAAAGAGCUCGUAGGCGGUUUGUUGCGUCGGCUGUGAAAUCCCGAGGCUCAACCUCGGGUCUGCAGUCGAUACGAGCAAACUAGAGUGUUGCAGGGGAGACUGGAAUUCCUGGUGUAGCGGUGAAAUGCGCAGAUAUCAGGAGGAACACCGGUGGCGAAGGCGGGUCUCUGGGCAGUAACUGACGCUGAGGAGCGAAAACGUGGGGAGCGAACAGG
rnacentral:rRNA from 1 species